rnacentral:misc_RNA from 1 species
CCUCAAUUUUUAAUUGAUUGAAGAUAGCCCUUAGGCAGGCUGAGAGAAGACUUGCUUUCAUCUGUCACGAAGUUGGCCUCUUCUUUUCCUUCCUCCCUGUCUGCGCCAAUCAGAUUGUUUGAUUUGGGGAAUUGUUUUUUGGGGGGUUGCUUUCUUCGGUUCAUUUAUAUGCGCUUAGUUUCUCAAUGGAAAGUGGUGUGCCGGGGCAGCUUGUGGGCUCGGAGAUUCAUGGAUUUCAUACACUGCAAGAUUUGGAUUAUGGGAACAUAACGGAGGAAGCUAGUUCAAGAUGGCUCCGACCAAAUGAAAUUCAUGCAAUACUUUGUAACUAUAAGUAUUUCGUCAUUAAUGUCAAGCCAGUGCACUUGCCCAAAAGUGGUGUUAUUAAGUUAUUUGACCGUAAGAAGCUUAGGAACUUCCGCAAAGAUGGUCAUAAUUGGAAGAAGAAAAAAGAUGGGAAGACGGUUAAAGAAGCUCAUGAACACUUAAAAGUUGGUAAUGAAGA